GGGACCUGCAAGGGAAGCCUAAACUGGAGUUGGGGGUGCUCCGGCAAGACCCUCCAAUGCUCAAGUCAGUACUCUGCUUCAACAGAAAUGGAGUGCUCGAGUGAAAAUUUUAGUAGAGUUUCGAGAUAGAGUUUAAAGCUUAGAGAAGAACGUAUCUGGGGGUCUCUUUUUAUAGACGGAGAGCAUAACUGAUUGGUAGCGAUGUCUGUAACUGCCUGGUAGUGGGCCGUUCAGAGCCGUGCGGAGUUUG
rnacentral:lncRNA from 1 species